GAUGAACGCUAGCUACAGGCUUAACACAUGCAAGUCGAGGGCAGCAUCGCGAUAGCUUGCAUUGCGGAUGGCGACCGGCGCACGGGUGAGUAACGCGUAUCCAACCUUCCCGCAACUGGGGAAUAACCUUGCGAAAGUAAGACUAAUACCCCCAUGGGUCUCCACGGAUGGCAUCUGAAAUGGAGUAAAGGUUUCGGCCGGUUGCGGAUGGGGAUGCGUCCGAUUAGCUUGACGGCGGGUAACGGCCACCGUGGCAUCGAUCGGUAGGGGUUCUGAGAGGAAGGUCCCCCACAUUGGAACUGAGACACGGUCCAAACUCCUACGGGAGGCAGCAGUGAGGAAUAUUGGUCAAUGGGCGGAAGCCUGAACCAGCCAAGUAGCGUGAAGGACGACUGCCCUAUGGGUUGUAAACUUCUUUUAUGCGGGGAUAAAGUUCGCCACGUGUGGCGUUUUGCAGGUACCGCAUGAAUAAGGACCGGCUAAUUCCGUG
rnacentral:rRNA from 1 species